UCGAGGUCCUCUCUGCGUGGGCGGGGAAGAGCGGCUGCAGGUGUAAUCAGCGGCUCCCGUCACGUAAAGUAGUGAAGUGUCAGCACUCUUCCCGCCCCAGCUUUCAGUGCCCCCUCGCUUUGCAGUCGGGCUCACAGGCCCAGGAAGGGAAAGACAUGCCCAGGAAAUGAAGCCAGAAUCCACAGAUGUCAUUAUCCAUCUGCAUGCUUUUGUUUACUACCCAGAAGGCAAGAAUAUUGCAUUUUAAAAGUGUCCGGACUUUUGUUCUUUCUUACCACAAAUGACUUGAGAAGAUCUGACCAUUCACAGUUACCCUGAGUGGAAGUGCCAAAGACUUGCUUCUUGGAGCGCUUUGAGAUUCAGGGCCUGGGGAAGACUGUAAAUGGAGUCUGCAGAGCAUAUGGCUAAUUAUCUAAGUUAUAUAUUAAGCCAACAAAUUAUUAAAUAAAAUAUGUCCUCUCCUCCUUC